rnacentral:lncRNA from 1 species
AGUUUGUUCUCUAACAGGACAUGAGAGGAUUAUUUUCAGACUCAACCUCCUUCAAUAUUGCCAUAGACAUGUUGUUUAUGAAAGGAUUAAAUGAGAGUAGGUGGCAUCCUUUUACUAUUAGAAGGCAGACACAUUAAACUAUAAAGGUAAAUUUUUUAGAUGACUGAUCUUUGUCAUCACUAAACAAUGUCUAUAAUACUAGGUUCUCUGAAUGUACUAAGAGACAUCUCUCUCUCUCUCUCUCUCUCUCUCUCUCUGGCAUACAAAUGUGUUUAAAUAUAUUUUAUUCUCCUUCCAGAGUGAUGUUGAAAAAGCACAAUCUAUGUUCAGUCAGAUUAUGAGCACUGACAGCAGAAUAUGUCAAAAUCUCAAAGUGCUGAUUGGCUAUGGCAGGAGCUGUGAAAGAAUCACUCUCUGUCUUGACCUUAGCAUUGGGAUCCAGCAGCCCUGCAUUUAUAAAGAAGCCUGAAUUCGCAGAAGGAAGUGGUGGACUUAGUGCGUCUUCAGAGCGAGGACAGCCCUCUGAUGGCGAGCGUGGAGCAGGCAGUGUCCCACCUCCAGCAGGCAGGUCAGGUGACCCAACGAAACCUGGACAAGAUGUUGUGUCAUACCCCCAUGGGGAAGAAGAGGGUGCCCAUGGGGAUAAUGGACGAGAGAAUGAUCAGCCAGAGGACUCUGAGGCCUCUGCAGU